UACGUAGGGUGCAAGCGUUAAUCGGAAUUACUGGGCGUAAAGCGUGCGCAGGCGGUGAUGUAAGACAGAUGUGAAAUCCCCGGGCUCAACCUGGGAACUGCAUUUGUGACUGCCUCGCUGGAGUGCGGCAGAGGGGGAUGGAAUUCCGCGUGUAGCAGUGAAAUGCGUAGAUAUGCGGAGGAACACCGAUGGCGAAGGCAAUCCCCUGGGCAUGCACUGACGCUCAUGCACGAAAGCGUGGGGAGCAAACAGG
rnacentral:rRNA from 1 species